rnacentral:rRNA from 1 species
AACGAACGCUGGCGGCAGGCCUAACACAUGCAAGUCGAACGCCCUAGCAAUAGGGAGUGGCAGACGGGUGAGUAACACGUGGGAACCUUCCCUAUAGUAUGGAAUAGCCCAGGGAAACUUGGAGUAAUACCGUAUACGCCCGAGAGGGGAAAGAUUUAUCGCUAUAGGAUGGGCCCGCGUAGGAUUAGCUAGUUGGUGAGGUAAUGGCUCACCAAGGCGACGAUCCUUAGCUGGUCUGAGAGGACGACCAGCCACACUGGGACUGAGACACGGCCCAGACUCCUACGGGAGGCAGCAGUGGGGAAUAUUGGACAAUGGGCGCAAGCCUGAUCCAGCCAUGCCGCGUGAGUGAUGAAGGCCUUAGGGUUGUAAAGCUCUUUUUGCCGGGGACGAUAAUGACGGUACCCGGAGAAUAAGUCCCGGCUAACUUCGUG